CAAAGAAAGGUGUUGAACGGCU
rnacentral:siRNA from 1 species